UUUGUCCUACGGGGCGCAGCAGUGAGGAAUAUUGGUCAAUGGGCUUACGCCUGAACCAGCCAAGUCGCGUGAGGGAAGACUGCCCUAUGGGUUGUAAACCUCUUUUGUCAGGGAGCAAUUGGCGCUACGUGUAGCGUUAUCGAGAGUACCUGAAGAAAAAGCAUCGGCUAACUCCGUGCCAGCAGCCGCGGUAAUACGUAGGGGGCAAGCGUUAUCCGGAUUUACUGGGUGUAAAGGGGGCGCAGACGGCGAUGCAAGCCAGGAGUGACAGCCCGGGGCCCAACCCCGGGACUGCUCUUGGAACU
rnacentral:rRNA from 1 species